rnacentral:lncRNA from 1 species
AUGGAGCUUCCAUCUCCUGCUUCUACUUCCCGUCCUGAGGGUAGCCCCCAUCAGUUACCUUCAGUUGCUCCUUCUGAAGUGUCUGCUGCCAAACCAUCUAAAAAGUCUGCAGCUAAAAAGACAUCUUCUAAGACUGCUGCAGCCCCGAAGCCUGUAAAACAAACGAAAACCAAGCAGUCAGCCAAAAGUAAAGAUUCUGCCCAGCAGCUUGCUGCCAUCUCCUCAUCUCUCCCUUCACCAAUUUUGGAGGACUCAUCGAGGGAUAAGGAUCCCAUGUCGGAAGCAGCCCCUUCACUUCCUCCCAGACAAGCAGAGCCAAUUUUACCCCUUGGCAUUCCCUCUCCGAUGCCUAGCCAGCUUGUUCAUGUCACAGCAAGUUUGUGGUCAGCCCCUUUGAGCCCUGUUUCCACCAGGCGGGCAUCUUUGGCUCAUUCCGUAUCUCCGGCUCCCUCCCAUCCAUCAUCUUCGCAUAAGAAAGCGGAAAAAAGGAAGCAUGUCUCUAGCCAUCCAUCACCCCACAGGGAUGGCAAAGGGAAACAUCAUCGUUCUCGAUGUCAUCACAGAUCUUCUUCGGAUGACUCAUCUUCCUCGGGGUCGAGGUGCAGAAGGUGCAGACGACAUUGUAGAAGGGACUCUUCUACCUCCUCCUCUUCGACAUCAUCAGACCAUCAUCGACAUCAUCAUCAUGUUAAAUAUGUUUAUGUCUCCUCUUCAUCUGCUUCGACCCCGCCACGAAAGCAUCGAUGUCAACACCGGGAGGAGGCUGAGAAACUUCCUCAUGCACCUCCACGGGGAGUUAAAAUGGUUGACCACUCUGUUAAUUCAACUUCGACGUCAACAGCACUACCACCUCCACAACGUGCUACUUCGGCGGCUCUCGAUGUCGAGCUCGAUGUCAAAAUAGAAACCAUGGAAUUUCGUCUGAAGAUGAGGCACCCUUUUCCUCUCCAGCCUCUGAUUCUGAUGCUGACCUGCCUCAACAGCCAAAGUCUGAUGAGUUGCCAGUGGAAGAGACAGUUGAAUCUGAUACUGGUGAUCCGCAUGAUUCCUUGCCAUCUGAGGACUUCUCUUCCUACUCACAGAUAUUAUCAAGAUUAG